rnacentral:rRNA from 1 species
GGGCGUAAAGGGCUUCGCAGGCGGUUUUUUAAGUCUGAAUGUGAAAGCCCCCCGGCUCAACCGGGGAGGGUCAUUGGAAACUGGGGAACUUGAGUGCAGAAGAGGAGAGUGGAAUUCCACGUGUAGCGGUGAAAUGCGUAGAGAUGUGGAGGAACACCAGUGGCGAAGGCGACUCUCUGGUCUGUAACUGACGCUGAGGAGCGAAAGCGUGGGGAGCGAACAGGAUUAGAUACCCUGGUAGUCCACGCCGUAAACGAUGAGUGCUAAGUGUUAGGGGGUUUCCGCCCCUUAGUGCUGCAGCUAACGCAUUAAGCACUCCGCCUGGGGAGUACGGUCGCAAGACUGAAACUCAAAGGAAUUGACGGGGGCCCGCACAAGCGGUGGAGCAUGUGGUUUAAUUCGAAGCAACGCGAAGAACCUUACCAGGUCUUGACAUCCUCUGACAAUCCUAGAGAUAGGACGUCCCCUUCGGGGGCAGAGUGACAGGUGGUGCAUGGUUGUCGUCAGCUCGUGUCGUGAGAUGUUGGGUUAAGUCCCGCAACGAGCGCAACCCUUGAUCUUAGUUGCCAGCAUUCAGUUGGGCACUCUAAGGUGACUGCCGGUGACAAACCGGAGGAAGGUGGGGAUGACGUCAAAUCAUCAUGCCCCUUAUGACCUGGGCUACACACGUGCUACAAUGGACAGAACAAAGGGCAGCGAAACCGCGAGGUUAAGCCAAUCCCA